rnacentral:rRNA from 1 species
AUUGAACGCUGGCGGCAGGCCUAACACAUGCAAGUCGAGCGGUAACAGGGGAAGCUUGCUUCUCGCUGACGAGCGGCGGACGGGUGAGUAAUGUAUGGGGAUCUGCCCGAUAGAGGGGGAUAACCACUGGAAACGGUGGCUAAUACCGCAUAAUCUCUUAGGAGCAAAGCAGGGGAACUUCGGUCCUUGCGCUAUCGGAUGAACCCAUAUGGGAUUAGCUAGUAGGUGGGGUAAUGGCUCACCUAGGCGACGAUCCCCAGCUGGUCUGAGAGGAUGAUCA